GGGGGAUUUUAGAGGAAAAAAAAAUACACACACAUACUCUCUCCCAUACCCACACAACAUAAAAAGAAAACCCCAGCACAACCCUCUCCCAUAGCAAUUAAAAAAUCAAAUCCCAUCUCUUCUAGCUCACAAACUAUCAAUCAGAACCAACAUCGUGAGACCUGUUUUCAUUUCAGCUCACAAACUCAUGGUCAUCAAUUACUAACAUCAUCACUGAUUGAAGUCUGCAACCCCCCUCCAACCAACCAUCAUUUUUUCUUCACCAAAUCAAAGAAACAUACCCAUCUGCCCCUUCAUCUUCUCUUCCAAUCAAGGUUGUUAAAAACGAGUUUUGACUCGUAAAAUCAUAUGAUUUUACAAGUCAAAAGGCGCAAAAAAUGUAAAAUCGGUCAAACCCGGUCAAUCUCGCAUAAAAUCGGGUCAACUUGUAAAAAACAUGAAAACCGGUCCGAUUUCAUGAUUUCUGCUGAAAUGAAAAACAGUUGCCCUUUUCUGCUUUACCCUUUUCCCUGUCCACAUCUCUAGUCUGCACCCUUUCCCUUUUCUGCUUUACCCUUUCCCCUCUCUCCAAAUCACCAACGGCCAAGCAGAUUAAGAAAUCAGAUUGAGAAAUCGGUUCCACUCUUCACUCUCCACUCACCAGCAACGCCUCUGAAUCUAAUUGUCUACACUCUCCACUCACCAGAACGUUCUUGGCGAGAAGAAGCACUACCAGAAAUUCGCUUAAUAUCAACGAAAUUACCGACGGAAUAAUUCUGUCGGUAAUUUGAGGUCGCCAUUACUGACCGAAUUUAAUCCGUCGGUAAUCUCGUCGGUAUAUACCGACGGCCAAAUUCCAUCGGUAUAUACCGACGGGAUUACGGACGGAAUGUUGAGAAUAAAAAAAAGGGCGGUUCGUUGACGUGGAUGUAAUUGCGAGUAUUUUUUACCGAUGAAAUGACCGAGGGAUUCAAAACGUCAGCUUUGUACGAUGAUGUGACCGAUUUCACCGAUGAAAAUGCCAACGGAAUCACCGAGGGAUUCAAAAUGACAGCUUUGUACGGUGACAUGCCCUUUUUACCGUCAGAAUAGCCGACGAAAUCAAAGACGAAAUAAUUUCAUCGGUGAAUCCGUCAGCAAAAGUUAAUAUAUCCCCACUCUGUCGACCCUCUCCUCCCCUAUUUCUCCUUCUUCUUCCCCAUCCCAACUCUCCCCAGCUGCAAACAACCAUCCCCCCUCCCCAAAAAAAAAUCUCCCUCUUCUCAGCACAACAAGUCAUAUUUCUUGAAGUUUUCUUGUCACAACAUCCAUGUUCUGAUUUACCGACGGAUUUUUAUCAGUUUUUGUAGGUAAUUCUAUCUUUUUAAAUUUUAACAUUUAAAUGUCAUUUUUUUUUAGUAUAUGUAUUUUUUAGUAGAUGUACAUGUUUUAUUGUUAUUUCUCAAACAAACUUGUAGUAUAUGAAUGUAUAAUUUUAUACUAGUUGCGGUUUGUUUUAGAUUUUGUAAGAUUGUAUUUGUUUGUAAAUUGUUGAAACUUUAUUGAAUUACCGAAUUACAUGUGUUGUUUUGAAAUAAUUAAUAGCUUGUUUAAUGGGUCCAUUUUAAUUUUUAUCAAUGGUAUUGCGGAGUUGUAAUUUCUAUAAAUUUUUAUAUAUAUUAAUUUGUAUGGACGUUGAUAAUUGAUAAUGAAUAUUUAAUAUUUAUGAGAAGUUGUAAUUGGUUUGUUGGAUAAUCUCGAGGUAAACCAAUAUUUUUGCAAAUUUAUUUACCUAACAUAUAUAGUUAAUUAAUACAUGUUGUCAUCAUAAUUUUAUAGAGGUUCGAUAGAAGUCAUGGAUGAUCGUUCAUGGAUGUAUCGAGAUUCACC
rnacentral:lncRNA from 1 species